GUAUGACAGGUAUGACAGAUAUGACAGGUAUGACAGGUAUAACAGGUAUAACAGGUAUAACAGGUAUGACAGGUAUAACAGGUAUGACAGGUAUAACAGGUAUGACAGGUAUAACAGGUAUGACAGGUAUAACAGUUAUGACAGGUAUGACAGGUAUGACAGGUAUAACAGUUAUGACAGGUAUGACAGGUAUGACAGGUAUAACAGUUAUGACAGGUAUAACAGUUAUGACAGAUAUGACAGGUAUGACAGGUAUAACAGUUAUGACAGGUAUAACAGUUAUGACAGGUAUAACAGUUAUGACAGGUAUAACAGUUAUGACAGGUAUG